rnacentral:rRNA from 1 species
CAUGCAUGUCUAAGAACAUAUGUGUAAACAUGAAUCUGCGAACGGCUCAUUAUUAACACCCAUAAUCUACCCAGUUUUCGUAUCCAAAACGGAUAUCUGCGUUAAUUUUGGAGCUAAUACGUGCACCAACGUGCUGCUAGCAAUAGUGGCACGCACUUAUUAGAUCAAGGCCGAUUGGGGCAACCCUUUUGGUGACUCUGAAUAAUUUUGCGGAUCGUAUGGUCUUGUACCGACGACGUACUGGUCGAGUGGGUGCCCUAUCAACUAUUGAUGGAAGUCUAUGUGUCUUCCAUGGUUGUAACGGGUAACGGAGAAUAAGGGUUCGACUCCGGAGAGCUAGCCUUAGAAACGGCUAUCACAUCCAAGGAAGGCAGCAGGCGCGUAAAUUACCCACUCUCAAUUCGAGGAGGUAGUGACUAUCAAUAACGAGACAGAUCUCUUUGAGGUCUGUCAUUGCAAUGAGCACAACUUAAAGACU